rnacentral:lncRNA from 1 species
GUUCUCAAUAAAUAGUUUCAAUUUUAGUAUUUUCUUGUACAAUUCCAAUCAGUCAAUAAAAUCUCUAUCUACAGUCCAAAUUCCAUUUUAAUUUCUAAGUACAUUACAAUUGGUAUUAGAGCUCUUUCGUGGCCCUAAAAUAAUGACAAUUACAGAGACUAGAUCGAAAACUACUGAAGAAAACAUUAAAAGAGUGGAGAAUCAACUGCAAGAACACAUGGCUUCGACGAAUCAGAAAUUUGAAGAUCUGAGUAGCAAAUUGGAUCUUCUAAUGGAGAAGCUUCUUCCCACCCACAAUGGAAUUUUAGGAAGUGGUCAUCGAGAAAGAUUACAGCUAAAGAACUCUGGAGCUAAGCAUAGGUAUGGGUAGGCAGCAUAAUCUUCACAUGGAAGAGGACAUUUCAGUCACAAAAUCGAAUUCCCUUACUUUGAUGGAGUUGGAUCUGAUCCUUGCUCAUGGAUACGAAGGUGAGAACCAUACUUCCAAUAUAACCAGGUACUAUAUCCUCAACAAAAACUAGAAGAUGCAGUGUUUCAUCUGAUGGGCAAAGCUGAAGCUUGAUUCUUCUCAUACCAGGUGAGUCAUGGUACUAUCUUCUGCAAGGAAUUCUGUGAAGAGAUCUGCAGGAGAUUUAUUGAAGCAGAUAAUAGUAAAUUUAAUUUAAUUAGUGAAUUUAAAAAAUUAGAACAAAAGGGCACAAUCCAUAAAUAUCUAGAAAAGUUUGCAGAAUACUAAUUAGGAGACUUACUAUUCCAGAAGAAUUUCUCAUAGAAUUCUUUGUGGAAGGGCUCAAGGAAGAAAUUAGGAACACUGUGAAAAUGCUCAACCCUUACACAUUGAGCCAAGCUUUGCAAAAGGCUAGGUUUCAGGAGAGGGUCAUAGGAGCCCAAAUAAGGAAGAGCCGGCUCACUUGGAACAAAGGCCCGGUGCAAAAUACUAGUGCUAUAGUGAACAAAUCUCAAGGGAAUUGGUCUAGAGAAGGGCAGGGAACACAUCCAAUGCAGGGAUGAGAAGAAACCACAAUUUGUGCUACAAGUGUGGAGAUAAAUGGGUUACUGGCCAUCAAUGAAAGAAUAAGCAGCUCAAUGCAAUGACAGUUGAGGAAGAAAUAAGAGAGACAGCCCAAACAACUGACCUACCUCAGAAGUUGGAGUUUAUUGAAGACUCACAGGAGCUGGAAAUGGUACAGGAAUUUGUUAGCCUCAAUGCCUUGUCUAGAACAGAGGUUCCAAACACAAUCAAUUUGAAUGGUACAGCCAAAAAGAAAGUAUUAACUAUACUUUUAGAUUUAGGAAGAACCAAUAACUUCUUAGAUAUGGAGACCGGUAGACAGAUUGGGUGUAUACUAAAGGAAGCUAGACCUAUGAGAGUUAUUGUAGCAAAUGGGAAUCAAUUGAUGAGUCUUUAUUCUUGCCCUAUGUUCAAGUGGAAGAUACAAGGGAUAGAAUUUGAGGACUCAGUGAGAUUAAUUCAGUUGGGGGGUUGUGAUAUAAUACUAGGGGUGAUUGGAUGAAAGCUCAUAAUCCAGUUCUAUUGAACGUUGUAGCAUAUAAAGCUAUAGUGUCACAUAAGGGAAAAGGGUGGAGCUUAAGGGACUGUACGACCAGGCCAUGUUGCAGAGCAUGUCUAGUGGUAGUACAAGACAGUUGUUCAAAAAGGAAAAGGUAUUCUGGAGGCACUUAUUCACAGUAACAGCAACAAAGAUGGAAAAACAAGAGGGGUUACCUUCAGAACUUUCAGGAGUGCUAUAGCAGUACAGUGAUGUGGUUGCAGAGCCAACUUCCUUGACUCCUAAAAAACAGCAUGACCACUUCAUACCACUGAAACCAGCAUCAACUCCAGUUAGUAUCAGGCCCUACAGGUACAACUACUUCCAGAAAAAUGAGAUAGAAAAACAAGUUAAAGACAUGUUAUCUAAUGGUAUUAUACAGCCUAGUCAUUCCCCUAUUCUCAUCACAUGUACUUUUGGUUAAAAAGAAAGAUGGUAGUUGAAGGUUUUACAUUGAUUAUAGGGAACUUAAUAAGAUGACCGUUGAAGAUAAGUUCCCAAUCCCAUUAGUAGAUGAUUUACUGGAUGAAUUAAGUGGUCAUCAUCAAAUUAGGAUGAAUGAGGAAGCUAUUCACAAAACAGCCUUCAUAACACACUUGGGUCACUAUGAGUUUAAGGUAAUGCCAUUUGGGCUAACUAAUGCUCCUUCCACCUUUCAAAGUCUUAUGAAUCAUGUGUUCCGGGAUUACUUGAGACAGUUUGUAUUAGUUUUCUUUGAUGACAUUUUAGUAUACAGUUCUACUAUUCAGAAACAUAAGGAACAUCUAACAAAGGUGUUGGAAGUAUUAAGAAGAGAACGGUUGUAUGCCAAGAGGUCUAAAUGUUCUUUUGGCCAAGAAAAGGUGGAGUAUUUAGGCCAUAUCAUUACUAGAGAAGGAGUCACUACCGAUCCUUCCAAAAUAGAAGUUAUGGUGAAUUGGCCUAUACCUAAGUCAAUUAAGGCAUUGAGGGGAUUUUUGGGUUUAACAGGAUAUUAUAGAAGGUUUGUGCAAUCCUAUGGGGUAAUCAGUAAAUCCCUGACUUAUCUACUCAAAAAGAAUUCUUUUCAGUGGGGGCAAGAAGCAGAAACAACCUUCAACGACCUUAAACAGGCAAUGACCACUACACAUGUUUUAGCAUUGGCAGACUUUACAAAGAUAAUUAUGGUAGAAACUGAUGCAUGUUCAAAAGGUAUGGGAGUUGUAUUAAUGCAGGAAGGAAGACCCUUAGCAUUUUUUAGCAAAGCCUUAGCCCUAGACAUUGGGGGUUGUCUACUUAUAAGAAGGAGUAUAUGGUAGUCCUAGCAGCAGUAGACAAAUGAAGACAUUACUUACAAGGGGGACACUUUAUCAUCACGACUGAUCAUCACAACUUAAAAUACCUAUUGGAAUAGAAAGUAACAACUGCCCUUCAACAGAAGGGGUUAACUAAGUUGCUAGGGUUGGAUUAUGAAGUACAAUACAAAAAAGGGACAGAGAACGGGGUAGUUGAUGCAUUAUCUAGAAGAGAGGUAGAGGAUUCCAGCCUAUCUGCCAUCACUACUACUGAACCUACUUGGAUGCAGGAAUUUGUUCAGGGUUACCAGGAUGAUCCUAUAGUGACAUAAUUGUCUAUUGAGUUAGUAACAGCCCCUGGAAGCAAGCCACACUAUACCUUACAGCAAGGGAUUAUAAGGUAUAAACAGAGGAUAUACACAGGAAGAGGAACCCACCUUAGAAACAAGAUUUUUGAGGUAUUACAUCAGUCACCCUUGAGUGGCCAUGCAUGACAGAUGGGUACUUAUAGAAGGAUUAAAGAAGUAUUCUACUGGCCCAACAUGAAGGCUGAGAUAAUAAAGAAAGUUUCAGAAUGUGAUGUUUGCCAAAGAAUUAAAACAGAGAAUGUGAUCUCUCCCGGGUUAUUGCAAUCAUUGCGUAUCCCAGAAAUGCCAUGGCAGGACAUAGCCAUGCACUUCAUUAAGGACUUCCUAAAUCCGGUAGUAUUGAAGUAAUAUUGGUUGUAAUGGAUAGACUAACUAAGUAUGGCCAUUUUAUAGGCCUCAAACACCCUUAUAUAGCAGAUGAUGUAGCUGAGACUUUUCUAAAAGAGAUAUACAAGUUGCAUAGAUUGCCAAGGACUAUUGUAAUGGACAUGGAUGCCAUUUUUACUAGUCAAUUUUGGCAACAACUCUUUAAAACUAUGGGGACUAAGGUGAAUAUGACUACUUCCUAUCAUCCCAUAUCUGAUGAUCAAACAUAAAGGUUAAACAGAUGAUUGGAGUCCUAUUUGAGAUCUAUGGUAUUCACCAAUCCUAAACAAUGGGUGAAGUGGCUACCUCUAGCUGAGUGGUGGUGUAACACCAAUUACCACAACUUACUAAAGUCCACCCCUUUUCAAGCCUUGUAUUGCUUCCCACCCAUACAGGUGUUAUACCCCAUUUUAAUACGGGUCAAACUAAAGUAUAACAUAUUGGUAAUUUUGCGGGUUUAAUUAAUUAAGAGAGUCGCCACCUAAUUAAUUUAAAGGUGAAUUAGGACACCGGUUUUAGCUAAGUAGUGCUUAAAAUUAACUCUGUUUUAUGAUCCACUUAACUUAAGGGUAUGGGUAAGGGUUCUAAUUAAUCUUAUAGGGAAGGUUUUUAAAGCACCCUAUACGAUUCGUUCAUAACGGUUAACCGGCCAAACUUAGGUUGAUUCACUAUAAGUAGAACAUUUAAUAUUUUAUACAUAGUUGGAAAAUAACAUGUGACUAUUUUUAUAUAUAUUAAAAUAUUACUAAAUGAGUAAAACUUGAGUUUGACAUGUCAAAGAAACACUACAAAGGACAUUUUUUCUAAAACCUUAAUUAGACUUGAACAUUGUAAGAAAGAAGCAAGAUUGUUAUGGAUAAAUUAUCACAAAGAACAGUAAGUAUUUCCAAAAUUGACGUGGGCAAAUAUUUUAGAAAUAAAUAUAUUAUCUCAAAUUGUUGAUUUUAAAAGCCCUUAAGACUCAUGUAAAUAAAAUCGACGAUUUAUUAUUAGCUUGAGUACAUGCCACUAAACAAAAUACAAUUUAGCUACCAAAUAUAAUAUAAGACAAACCCCAAAUAAAUCGACAAUCAUAAAGAAAUUAAACGAAUGAUAAGAGAAAGAAAAAUGAAAGACGUCAUAGGCGUCCCCAAGUGUUUCACUUCUUUUGUUGAUAUCUGGGACUCUAUGGAAGACGGUAUGGGAUACUAUGACUCCAUGCUCGGAUAGUGAGGAAGAAUCUUGUAUUAAGACUCCAAGGGUUGCUCCAAGUGCACAUGCAAAGAAAGAAAACAAAUCAAAGGAAUUAGAGAAGAGAUUCAAACACAUAAAAAGGGACUCAAACACACUGUUAGCUAUCACGAUUUCAAACCGUGCAUUAUUUCUAAGUUUACCAAGAUUAAUAAGUUAAAGAAAGCGUCCUUAGCACAGCUAAAAAAGAGAAUUUUUAAUGUCUUCAAAAUAACAUGACAAGAUAUAAUAUUUCCUAUAUUUACUUGAGAUCUAAAUGGGUUACACUAAUUACGCUAGUAUAAAUAUAUCCUUCUUAUACGACAGUGAAGUAAGAAACUUCAUUAUUAACACACUUGAGUUGAACUAGUACACAUGCUAUCUAAUAUUUCAACAUCAUGCUUAACAAAGUACACAUAUAUUCCACAAAGUAUUGGCAUGAAAACUAUAGGCAUGGUUUUGAGGUUAUGAAAGUCUCAUACACAUUAAUCAUCUUUUGCUUAAACACAUAGGUGAUUAACGCCUAGAUACAUGCCUUCUACUAAAUACCUUAAUCGAUACAUUAAUUAUUAACAUGGUCUAAGCAUACCUUCUAAUAAAGGUCUACUUUCACGUUUAAAAACAAGGAUCAGUAACAAUCUAUGCCUAAAAUUUAUGCUCAACAUCAUAUAUGAAUAUAACAUGCUACUUACAGAUUUAUUAAUGAUGAAUAAAUAAAUCCUUACGAUAUGAUCUGUAACAGGAUUAAACACACAAGCAGAGUACCCGAUCCUUUAUACAUACAACUUGAAAAAAAUACCAGUGGUAAUAAGUUCUAAAGAUUGCUUAUAUUAAAAUUAUACACUCGUGAUUUGCUUCUACACAUUGCUUAGAAUUAAUAGAAUAUAUUACCACCACCUACCUUCAUGAUACCUAAGAAUGAGUACUAAACUAAUUGAUAACACCUAAAAAUGUGAUUUAAAAAAGAAGCAAAAUCAUCACAAGAAGAAGAAAAAAACUGACCUGUUUGAGCGCAGCAAACUGGAGCGCAUCAACCAGAUCUACUAUUUUCGGCCCCGGAUCAGCUACUUCAGAUACUCGUCUCAGUUUUUUGGGGUAAAAGGCGUAGCUGAAGCUUUUGGUUAAAGGAGGGGCUGAAGCUUGUUGGUUUAAAGAGAGGUGCAACGGCUCCAAAAAAGCUCCCCCCAUAUCUUCCAAAUGCAAGUAUUUAUAGGUGAAAAGAUAGGGUUCAUGUUCCUAUUUUGAAAUUCAAAAUCCCAUGACAGAGAAGGAUCACGGGUCGAUAUUGGGCUUCCAAAAGAGCCAUUUUAAUCUCUGCUCUAGUGAUUCUUUGCAUAAAAAUCAGAAGAAAAAGAAAGUUUCUUUGGUACCUUGUGUUGACUAAAGCGUUGAAGACAAAAGAGAUACAAUGAACUUGCUCAAAAAUGAAAGGGGCAAGGUUUGUCCAUGGGUAAAGUAAACCUUGACUUUGCAUAAAAAUGGAAGAGAGAAGAGGAGUGAGGAAGAUGAUAGUAACGGCUGUGAAGAGAAUAAAAAUGAAAGGGAGAACCUAAUUAUGUUUUGGGCUGAUCAAAGUUUCUUUGGUACCUUGUGUUGACCAAAGCGUUGAAGACAAAAGAGAUACAAUGAACUUGCUAAAAAAUGAAAGGGGCAAGGUUUGUCCAUGGGUAAAGUAAAGCUUGACUUUGCAUAAAAAUGGAAGAGAGAGAAGAGGAGUGAGGAAGAUGGUAGUAACGGCUGUGAAUACAAUAAAAAUGAAAGAGAGAACCUAAUUACAUAUAGAUACUAUAUAACAAACCUUAUUACCACCAAUAUUUAAGGUUUAUAUUUAUUAUAUUUAAGCAUACUAACUUUUAAUUUAUGUUCCAAAAUUCUAUUUAAGUCUUUAUUAUCAACUUAUUAAUUAUAGGCAUG